UCUUCCCCCCAGUGGCAAAUAAAAUAUACUAAAACUCAUUUAAAAACAUUAAAAAUCUAUAUAUUUUAUUUUAACCUUAAUGUAACCUCGUGGGUUAUUCACUUUUGAAAACAACGUCUAAAUAUGACCCCUAUAGUGUUGACAGUGUUAACAGUUAAAUAUAAGAACAUUAUAAUUUCCCAGACAAAGCAAGAUCUCUCCAUCUAUUCUCACUGCAGCUGAUGUGACUGCAGCUCUGGCUACAUGCUCAGGCUGUUCCUGCAGAACUUCUCUGCCGGCGCCAGAGUAUUCACAGAAAAAGCGACCAAGGUUUUCCUGGUAGCUGGGGACGAGGAUGGUGAUGGCAAGAUUGGAGUUGACGUGUUUCUUGCCCUUGUAAAGGCAUAAUUGUCCAUUGACCAAGAUCAACCGCUUUUCACAGAACCAGAACUCCUAGCAAGAAUCACUAACUUUCAGCUAAAUUCAUAUUUUUAUUUAUCAACUGCCUGCGGACUAUAUUUCUCAACAUGGAGCACAAUGUCCUUUUAGUGUAUUGUUAAUGUUAUUUGGAUGUGUUAUAAUGAUCUAAAAAUGGCUUGUGCAAAUUGUACAAUCGUAUCUACACUUUCGAAGAAUAGUGAAAACCCAGUAAUAAAUACUAUUUUGGUGUAAACAUUGUCUUUUCAGCUUAGACUCUCGAUGCUUUGGAAACCAAUGUGGGGAGAAAUAAGGCUGAGUUCCAGAUAUAUACCGUAUGUGCUGUCUUGUG
rnacentral:lncRNA from 1 species